GUGCCAGCCGCCGCGGUAAUACGGAAGGUCCGGGCGUUAUCCGGAUUUAUUGGGUUUAAAGGGAGCGCAGGCUGGUUGCUAAGCGUGACGUGAAAUGUAGCCGCUCAACGGCUGAACUGCGUCGCGAACUGGCAGUCUUGAGUGAGUGCGACGUCAGCGGAAUUCGUGGUGUAGCGGUGAAAUGCUUAGAUAUCACGAAGAACCCCGAUUGCGAAGGCAGCUGACGAGUCCUUAACUGACGCUAAAGCUCGAAGGUGCGGGUAUCGAACAGGAUUAGAUACCCUGGUAGUCCGCACGGUAAACGAUGGAUGCCCGCUGUCUGCGAUACACUGUAGGCGGCCAAGCGAAAGCGUUAAGCAUCCCACCUGGGGAGUACGCCGGCAACGGUGAAACUCAAAGGAAUUGACGGGGGCCCGCACAAGCGGAGGAACAUGUGGUUUAAUUCGAUGAUACGCGAGGAACCUUACCCGGGCUUGAACUGCAGGUGAACGAUUCAGAGAUGAUGAGGUCCUUCGGGACUCCUGCGGAGGUGCUGCAUGGUUGUCGUCAGCUCGUGCCGUGAGGUGUCGGCUUAAGUGCCAUAACGAGCGCAACCCCUCUCUUCAGUUGCCAUCACGUGAUGGUGGGCACUCUGGAGACACUGCCACCGUAAGGUGCGAGGAAGGUGGGGAUGACGUCAAAUCAGCACGGCCCUUACGUCCGGGGCUACACACGUGUUACAAUGGGUGGUACAGAGAGUCGGGUGCCGGCAACGUCGCCCCAAUCAUGAAAGCCAUCCUCAGUUCGGAUUGGGGUCUGCAACCCGACCCCAUGAAGCUGGAUUCGCUAGUAAUCGCGCAUCAGCCAUGGCGCGGUGAAUACGUUCCCGGGCCUUGUACACACCGCCCGU
rnacentral:rRNA from 1 species